rnacentral:antisense_RNA from 1 species
AUUUUUUUCCCGUCUGUAAAAUAUACGCCAUAAUG